AUGCAUAAAACCACCACACAUCCCUUCAAAUGGUAUCAGAGCAAAGGUUCAUUAUGACAUGAACAUAUAUGCAUGUAGAGUUAAAAUCUAGAUUUAGUAAUGCAUAAGAUGUAUUAUGAUCUAAUUUUAGAUAUGAUCUAACAUAAAAAUUAGAUCUAAUAUAAUUUACAUUAGAUCUAUAUUUUUGCAUAUAUGAUAUGUGAGUAGAUUAGAUGAUCCGAUUAGCAAGUACUUAGAUUAGGUU
rnacentral:lncRNA from 1 species